rnacentral:rRNA from 1 species
UUACGGGAGGCAGCAGUGGGGAAUCUUGGACAAUGGGCGCAAGCCUGAUCCAGCCAUGCCGCGUGAGUGACGAAGGCCUUAGGGUUGUAAAGCUCUUUUGGCGGGGACGAUAAUGACGGUACCCGCAGAAUAAGUCCCGGCUAACUUCGUGCCAGCAGCCGCGGUAAUACGAAGGGGACUAGCGUUGUUCGGAAUUACUGGGCGUAAAGCGCACGUAGGCGGAUUUGUAAGUCAGGGGUGAAAUCCCGGGGCUCAACCUCGGAACUGCCUUUGAUACUGCAAAUCUCGAGUCCGAUAGAGGUGGGUGGAAUUCCUAGUGUAGAGGUGAAAUUCGUAGAUAUUAGGAAGAACACCGGUGGCGAAGGCGGCCCACUGGAUCGGUACUGACGCUGAGGUGCGAAAGCGUGGGGAGCAAACAGGAUUAGAUACCCGUGUAGUCCA